AUAAGUACCAUUUUAAAAAAAAUUAUGGAGCAACCUACGUAUUGGUGUCUAUCAUUUUAGGUCCAAAUUUUGAAUUUUCCACUGAAACACAUGAAGAAUUGUUGUAUAACAAAGAAAAACUCCUGUGCAAUGGAGAUAAAUGGGAAUCCGAAAUUGCUGCAAAUAUCUAUGCUGAUCACUUGUACCGCUAAAUAGUGAUAAAAACGUCUCGUAUCCAGAGCCAAUAAAAUUCAAUAAAUAUUAGAAUGUUUUGAAUAUUUCUUCAA